AUUUUGUUUGUUACUAUUCUAUUUUAAUAAUACUUCAUAUUAUGUAUUGUGUGCAUAUUUUGAUAUUUGAGUUAGGGUUUAUAUUUUCUUGUAGGGUUUAGUGAUUAGUGUGUUGUGUUUGGUUUAUGGAACGUUUGUGUUGACCUUGGGGUAAUCAUUACUUCCUUUCCAUGUAAUCAUAUACAUUUUACAAUUUGAACAUUAAUAUAUACUAUGUUAUUUCGUUUGUUACUAUUCUAUUUUGAUAAUGCUUCUUAUGUACUAUGUGUAUAUUUGAUAUUGGAUUAGGGUUUAUAUUUCCUUUAAGGGUUUAGUAAUUAGUGUUUUGGGUUUAGUUUAUGGAAAGUUUGGGUUGACUUUAGAGUAAGCAUUACCUCCUUCACUGCAAUCAUAGACAAUUCAAAAUUUAAACAUUAAUAUGUACUAUGCUAUUUCGUUUGUUACUACUUUAUUUUAAUAAUGUUUCAUAUUAUGUACUGUGCGCAUAUUUUGAUAUUAGGGUUAAGGUUUAUAUUUUUAUUUUAGGGUUUAGUGAUUAGUGAUUAGUGUUUUGGGUUUAGUUUAUGGAAGUUUUGGGUUGAUAGGGAAUAAGCAUUACUUCCACUAUUAUUAAUUUCAUUAAUAUGAACUAUACCAUAUGUAGAAUGUUCUAUUCUAUUUACUCUAUUUAUCUUCUUCCAUAACAUUAUAUCUUUCUCCGACCAUCGUAGUCAUAUUAAUCGUUGCAUG
rnacentral:lncRNA from 1 species